rnacentral:lncRNA from 1 species
UUUUAUUACUCUUUUGGAUGAUAUAAAAAUUGAGUUGACACUAUUAUAAAAAUAAGUAUCAUUAUUUAUAGAAAAUUGGUUAUGGUAAAAUCAUGAAAAAAUUCUCCAGUUAGACUAUGAUCUGAGUCAAGCCAACGGGACUGAUUGUUAGCCACACAUCAGAAAUAUAUUUCUUUUGAGCCUAGCUAGUCGGGACUGAUCACUGGUAGAGUUAGUCUUUCUGGGCCUAGCCAGUCAGGAC